UUACUGGAGAUAUCCAAGACGAUUUCAACAUUACCCUUCAUGGUUGAGCUUGACAUUCAAAAAGACAGUGUCAGGCAGCCGAGGAGCCAUACGUGGAACCUACUGAGGGUUAAGCGUGGGACUGAUAUAGUGAAAGUUCUGUUUGAGUAGAUAUUGGUCACAGAAGGCAACUCCAUGAAGGACGCAGCAUCCAAGGCUUAUGCUCAGGUGUUUGCUCCUCACCAUGGCUGGGCCAUAAGGAAAGCAGUAUGUGCUAGAAUGUACGCCCUUCCUUCUAACUCGCGGCUCUUGAAGAAACUAAAUGAAGAUGAAAGCAUUGAAACUUCUAGGCGCUCUACCUCCAAAAACUUUACUCGGAGCCUACCUCGCUGUCUCACUUUUGUGUGGUCCGCAUAAUGCAAGGCUAAAAGUAAUAACGCAUUUAAUUUUUUUAACCACUAUUGUAUCAUUAUCACUCAUCUG